rnacentral:tRNA from 1 species
GCCUGGGUGGCUCAGUUGGUUAAGUGACUGACUUCAACUCAGGUCAUGAUCUCGCAGUUUGUGGGUUCGAGCCCCGCGUCGGGCU